AUUGAACGCUGGCGGCAUGCCUAACACAUGCAAGUCGAACGGUAACAGGCCCUUCGGGGCGCUGACGAGUGGCGGACGGGUGAGUAAUGCUUAGGAAUCUGCCUAGUAGUGGGGGAUAACCCGGGGAAACUCGGGCUAAUACCGCAUACGUCCUACGGGAGAAAGCGGGGGACCUUUGGGCCUCGCGCUAUUAGAUGAGCCUAAGUCCGAUUAGCUAGUUGGUAGGGUAACGGCCUACCAAGGCGACGAUCGGUAGCUGGUCUGAGAGGACGACCAGCCACACUGGGACUGAGACACGGCCCAGACUCCUACGGGAGGCAGCAGUGGGGAAUAUUGGACAAUGGGCGCAAGCCUGAUCCAGCGAUGCCGCGUGUGUGAAGAAGGCCUGCGGGUUGUAAAGCACUUUCAGUUGUGAAG
rnacentral:rRNA from 1 species